CCUGAGAUGUCAGAGCCAAAGUGUGAGGCUUUAUGAUGACACGUGACAAUCCUUGCUGAUGUCAUGAGGUGGGCCCUUGUGAUGUCACAAAGAACUCAGCUGAACGUGGAAACAGGCAUGAGGGCAAUGAGUCCAGAAUUGUACGUUGUGCUGACCAGAUAAGAAGAACUAGGAGGAAGGAGAAUAAAGCAUUUUAAUAACCAAGCAAAUGAGAGAGUGCACACACUAGCUGCAGCUAUUGCUACUAUUCCUGCUAGAGCUCACAUCUCAGGUGGUACAUGGGAUUUAUGGUUGCACCUACUGUGCUCCAGAGACAGGAGAGUACUGCACCCAAGUCUGACUAUAUCAUCUCAUUGGACAUAUGGACAUUUUGGGAUUGCACCUAUGUGUCAACUUUAACAUCCAAUUUGUUAAAUAUAUUGGGAUUUAAAUUGCCAUGCCUAAAUUUACAUCUAGAUCUGGCCACAUCUACACAGGUAGAUCUUGGCAAGGCCACUGAGCCCUGCAAACAGAAGUUUUUAGCUUUGGACAAGAUCAGAAAACAUGGGAAGAAAUUGAUCAAGAAUUUAGUUAGCUUCCACUACUAGCAUAAAAGACUUUUCAUCGUUUCAUUGUUUUAAAUAAAACUUCGUGUAUUAAUAUUU